GUGAAUCAUCAAAUCUUUGAACGCAAAUUGCACUCCCUGGUAUUCCGGGGAGUAUGCCUGUUUGAGGGUCGUUAGAAGAAAAAUCGAAGCAUCGCUCUUUUUUUGAGGGUGAUCGCGUCGGAAUUGAGCCGUCUUUCAAAUGUUAAUUCAUGUCAAAGUGGCUUAAAAUUUAUCCAUCCGGUACGAUUAAAGCGUAUUUAAGAUCAAUUUUGAUUAAGAACGCGCGAUGAACGUAACAUCUCAUGAAGUACGUUUGACUUGACGUCGUCAGGAUUAUUAGGAUACGAAACUCAAACUUUUU
rnacentral:misc_RNA from 1 species